rnacentral:siRNA from 1 species
AUCAAUCGAUCUACGACUACUGGU